UUCAGGUAACGUUUCAUCUGCUAUCACUGGGUUCAAAGAAUGAACGCGAACUUCGUGAAGUUUUAGAAUCCAAGGUGAAAUCUGGAUACAUUGGUGAUAGCAAAGUAUCUACAGAAGGAUUUUCAUUUAAGAAAAUUGAAAGAGGCAAUGGCGAGGAAAUGGACACUGACGGCAAUGGCGUUCACGAUUCGCAACUCGUAACACAGGAAACUUUUAAUCAACAAAAACGAAAGAUUGAGCAAUUGCAGGGGUUUAAUAUGAGAUUGCUACAACAUAUUGCUGAAUUAGAAACAGAACUCGAAGAAGAUGAGGAAAACUCUAACGAAAGAAUGACCGACCUUGAGAAUGAAAACCAAACCUUGCAGUUGCAAAUAAAAGCCUUAUCGUCCAAACUCCAAGAGAACGAACAGAGAAAAUAUGACGAACAGGAAGUAUACUACAUUGGAUCUUCAGAAAGUAAAAAGAGUACAGAUGAGGAAAACUCUAACGAAAGAAUAGCCGACCUUGAGAAUGAAAACCAAACCUUGCAGUUGCAAAUAAAAGCCUUAUCGUCCGAACUCCAAG